GCCUAGUUAGCCUGGAGGGUAGUGCGUCUGCCUUGUAAGCGCUAUGUCGCGGGUUCAAUUCCCGCCCGGGGCA
rfam:Asian citrus Psyllid, Diaphorina citri - Florida Strain, whole genome shotgun sequence.